rnacentral:rRNA from 1 species
AUUGAUCGCUGGCGGCAGGCGUAACCCAUGCAAGUCGAGCGGGGGAAGGUAGCUUGCUACCGGACCUAGCGGCGGACGGGUGAGUAAUGCUUAGGAAUCUGGCUAUUAGGUGGGGACAACAUCUCGAAAGGGAUGCUAAUACCGCACACGUCCUACGGGAGAAAGUAGGGGAACUUCGGACAUUGCGCUAAUAGAUGAGCCUAAGUCAGAUUAGCUAGUUGGUGGGGUAAAGGCAUACCAAGGCGACGAUAUGUAGCGGGUCUGAGAGUAUGAUCCGCCCCACUGGGACUGAGACACGGACCAGACUCCUACGGGAGGCAGCAGUGGGGAAUAUUGGACAAGUGGGGGAACCCUGAUCCAGCCAUGCCGCGUGUGUGAAGAAGGCCUUAUGGUUGUAAAGCACUUUAAGCGAGGAGGAGGCUACUUUAGUUAAGACCUAGAGAUAGUGGACGUUACUCGCAGAAUAAGCACCGGCUAACUCUGUGCCAGCCGCCGCAGUAA